UCUUACUGUCGCCUUUCUGUCCAGGUGGACCAGGGAUCCCAUCCCGGCCUUGGUUGCCUUUUGGGCCCGGAUAACCCUGGACACCUGGUAGUCCUUGGAUCCCUGAGGUUGAUGUUGGAGCAUAAGGUCCUGGAUUCCCCUUUGGUCCAUCACUUCCUGAUAUGCCUGCUCUUCCACUGACACCAGGCGGUCCAUGUUCACAGUCACAUGGUUCUCCUUUAAUUCCUUUGUGGCCAGUAGAACCUGGUGAACCAGGGAAGCCCGGCCCUCCUCUGAUUCCUGGUUCUCCCUUAAGUCCUUUUUUACCUGAGAGGCACACAUUCUCCUCUACAUAUCCUGUGUUGCUGCCACAGGCACUUACUGUCCUCCAUAUAGUCAUCAGUCUCUGUUGACUUGCACCUGGAGGUUCUCUUUAGAAGUCCAUGCCAAGAGGGCCAGAAGGACCCCUCAGUCCUGGCUCCCCAGGGAUGCCUGGAGGACCUUGGGCACCCUUAGCUCCAUCACGACCAGGGGAACCUGUGAGAGUAAAGGUCAUGGGGUCAUUUUCCUAAAAACUUCAGACCAUACCUGCACUUGCACUGAAUUAUCAAUACCUGGAAGAGAGGUCCAGGCAGCCCUUCUGGUCCAUAUCCUGGUAAACCAUCUGGUCCACGGUCUCCUUUUGGACCUUGAAUGAAUACAAAUCAUAUGAAAGCUGCAACAGAAAAAAAUUUAAAGAUGGGAAAC